rfam:Alligator mississippiensis ScZkoYb_101, whole genome shotgun sequence.
UGGGGCAUGAACCUGGCAUACAAUGUAGAUUUCUGUAUUUCUUAAGCAACAGCUACAUUGUCUGCUGGGUUUCAAGCUGCCUGG